CCGCGCCUGCGCUAAACGGCGCGCGUCGCUACCGAGACGUAAAGGCGUGCUGGAGCGACGAAUGGCGCUGUACGCGGCGGCUGCGGCAGUGCUGGCAGGCGUUGAGAGCCACCAGGGCUCCAUCAAGGGGCUGGUGUACGGUAGCAGUUUCCAGAACGUGAAGCAGCUGUACGCGCUGGUGUGCGAGACGCAGCGCUACUCCUCCGUGCUUGACACCGUGAUCGCCAGCGCCGGCCUCCUCCGCGCUGAGAAGAAGCUGCGGCCGCAUCUGGCCAAGGUGCUAGUGUAUGAGUUGUUGCUGGGAAGAGGCUUUAGUGGGCGAGGAGGCAGGUGGAAGCCUCUGCUGGACCGGCACCAGGCAAGGCUGAAAGCUGAGUUGGCCAGACUGAAGGUUCAUCGAGGUGUGAGCCGGAAUGAGGAUUUGUUGGAAGUGGGCUGUGGGCCUGGCCCAGCCUCCCAGGUGCCUCGAUUUGUGCGAGUGAACACUCUCAAGACCUGCUGUGAUGAUGCAAUUGAUUAUUUCAAGAGACAAGGUUUCUCCUACCAGGGUCGGGCUUCCAGCCUGGAGGAUCUAAGGGCCCUCAAAGGGAAGCGUUUUCUUCUGGAUCCCUUGUUGCCUGAGCUGCUUGUGUUCCCUGCCCAAACAGACCUGCAUGACCAUCCACUGUACCAAGCCGGUCACCUCAUCUUACAAGACAAGGCUAGCUGUCUCCCAGCCAUGCUGCUGGCUCCGCCCCCGGGCUCCCACGUCAUUGAUGCGUGUGCUGCUCCAGGCAAUAAGACCAGUCACUUGGCUGCUCUUCUGAAGAACCAAGGGAAGAUCUUUGCCUUUGACCUGGAUGCCAAGCGGUUGGCGUCUAUGGCUACUCUGCUGGCCCGGGCUGGAGUCUCUUGCUGCCAGCUAGCCGAGGAGGACUUCCUGGCAGUCUCACCCUCAGACCAGCGUUAUCGUCAGGUCCAGUACAUUUUGCUGGAUCCUUCUUGUAGCGGCUCUGGUAUGUUGACCAGACAGCUGGAGGAGCCUGGGACAGGCACACCCAGUAAGGAACGCUUACGCGCCCUGGCAGCAUUUCAGCAGCGAGCUUUGUGCCACGCACUCACUUUCCCCUCCCUGCAGCGCUUGGUCUACUCCACGUGUUCUGUUUGUCAAGAGGAGAAUGAAGAUGUGGUACGGGAUGCCCUGCAGCAGAGCUCAGGAACCUUCAGGCUCACUCCUGUCCUACCUUCCUGGCCCCACCGAGGCCUUAACACUUUUCCAGGGGCUGAACACUGCCUCCGGGCCUCCCCCGAGACCACGCUCACUGGUGGCUUCUUCAUCGCUGUACUUGAACGGGUAGAGGUGUCAAGGUGAGCAGGAAGGAGCCUGCUGGGAAGAUGCUGGAAGAUUGGGACAUAUCUCACUUGUACUUUUCUUGUAGCUCCGUCUCACAGGCUGAAGUGUUGGCACCAGAACUUAGAUCCAGCUCUGUUACAAAGAGAAAGAAGAGGCGGCGAAAAGCGGCAGCUGCCCCCAGCGUGCUCCCUUAGCAGGAUGGACACUGAUAGCCCUGUUUCUCCAGCUGGAACGAUAGAGUGGAUUUCCUCAUCCUUUGAGUCCCUUCCCUGGGUCACAUUCUUGCUGGUGAGAGAAGUGCAACCCACAAAAAUAAAAAGGCAGGACAUGGUCUACGAUA